GAUGAACGCUGGCGGCGUGCUUAACACAUGCAAGUCGAGGGGCAGCAGGUCUGUAGCAAUACAGAUGCUGGCGACCGGCAAACGGGUGCGGAACACGUACAGAACCUUCCUUCGAGCGGGGAAUAGCCCAGAGAAAUUUGGAUUAAUACCCCAUAGUAUGGUGAAGAGGCAUCUCUUUACUCUUAAAGAUUUAUCACUUGAAGAUGGCUGUGCGGCUGAUUAGGUAGUUGGCGGGGUAACGGCCCACCAAGCCUACGAUCAGUAACUGGUGUGAGGGCACAACUGGUCACACGAGCACUGAGACACGGGCCCGACUCAUACGGGAGGCAGCAGUAAGGAAUAUUGGUCAAUGGACGAAAGUCUGAACCCGCCAUGCCGCGUGGAGGAUGAAGGUCCUCUGGAUUGUAAACUUCUUUUAUAUGGGACGAAAAAGGGCCUUUCUAGGUCCACUGACGGUACCAUGUGAAUAAGCACCGGCUAACUCCGUGCCAGCAGCCGCGGUAAAAC
rnacentral:rRNA from 1 species